GACGAACGCUGGCGGCGUGCUUAACACAUGCAAGUCGAACGGAAAGGCCCUGCUUGCAGGGUGCUCGAGUGGCGAACGGGUGAGUAACACGUGGGUGAUCUGCCCCUUACUUUGGGAUAAGCCUGGGAAACUGGGUCUAAUACUGGAUAGGACCAUGCUGUAGGUGGUGUGGUGGAAAGAUUAGUUUCGGUAAGGGAUGAGCUCGCGGCCUAUCAGCUUGUUGGUGGGGUAAUGGCCUACCAAGGCGUCGACGGGUAGCCGGCCUGAGAGGGUGGACGGCCACAUUGGGACUGAGAUACGGCCCAGACUCCUACGGGAGGCAGCAGUGGGGAAUAUUGCACAAUGGGCGCAGGCCUGAUGCAGCGACGCCGCGUGGGGGAUGACGGCCUUCGGGUUGUAAACUCCUUUCAGCCAUGACGAAGCCCUUGUGGUGACGGUAGUGGUAGAAGAAGCACCGGCUAACUACGUGCCAGCAGCCGCGGUAAUACGUAGGGUGCGAGCGUUGUCCGGAAUUACUGGGCGUAAAGAGCUCGUAGGUGGUCUGUCGCGUCAUUUGUGAAAGUCCGGGGCUUAACUCCGGGUUGGCAGGUGAUACGGGCAUGACUGGAGUACUGUAGGGGAGACUGGAAUUCCUGGUGUAGCGGUGAAAUGCGCAGAUAUCAGGAGGAACACCGGUGGCGAAGGCGGGUCUCUGGGCAGUAACUGACGCUGAGGAGCGAAAGCAUGGGUAGCGAACAGG
rnacentral:rRNA from 1 species